rnacentral:tRNA from 2 species
GGGCCGUUAGCUCAAUUGGCAGAGCAACUGACUCUUAAUCAGUAGGUCCUCGGUUCGAUCCCGAGACGGCCCACCA